GAAUUGUAGAAUCUCAUGAAUCGUCAUGUUUUUGAACUCAAUUUUCACUUGAGGCAUCAGUUGAGGGCACGUCUAUUUGGUUGUCACAUCCUACAGAUAUGUGCUCCCUACUAGGCAUUAGAGAGGAGCAGAGAUAGUCAUAUGUUCCCAAAGUGGUGUGGUCGGCUGAACUACAUGCCAUGUUUUGUGUCUUGCGUUGGUGAGCGGUGAUCUUGUCUCCUUAUUUGGGUGAGUUGGCAUUGGUUCAUGCAGGGUGUGUGGAGCAUUGCAGGAACUUACUUUUCACAUCAUCUUUCCAUCUUGGUGGAGGGAUUUGGAUCCAACAUGAAAAGAGAGUUAAAGAGUUCCUGAAAUUUUUGGGAGUGAAGCAGAUGGAGGCUAGCAAUGCAACUCAGUCAGAUGUGGAAUGACUCAAGUUGGUUCGUCGCUCGACUCAAGGUGAGAACCUACACAUUCCAUUACAUCAAGACAAGUGUAGGUGGAGUACUUCAUGUUGUUUUUCCAUUAUGGUGGUCGAGGAAUGAAGUGUACGCCCUUGGGGCAGGCCACUGUGCACCUUCACACUCGUGGUGUUCGUUGACGGGAUUUCCAUUCAACCCGUCCUGAAACACAGACUAAGGAUUCUAGCAUGUGUGUGCAUUGGUGGGUUUGUAAACAUGUAAGGCGUAAGGAAGCUGACGGGAAAGAUCCCCUCUUGAUGAGGUGCAUUGUCGAUGGACCUUGAGCUUGUGCAAAGGGUUCAAGUGCGCGCACACUUGUUGGGACCUGAAAGAUGGUGAACUAUGCAUGAGUAGGGUGAAGCCAGAGGAAACUCAGGUGGAGGUCCAUAGCGAUAUUGGCAUGCAAAUCAUUUGUCUCACUUGGGUAUAGGGGUGAAACACUAAUUGAACCAUCUAGUAGUUGGUUUCCUCUUAAGUUUCCAUUGGGAUAGCUAGAGCUUACAUGCGAGUUUUAUCAGUUAAAGAAAAUGAUUAGAGACAUCAAGGGCGUAAUGUCCUCGACCUAUUCUCAAAAUUUAAAUAGGUAAGAUGGUGUGGUUUCUCCAUUGAGCCAUGCCAUGUAAUCUAGAGCUCCAAGUGGGACAUUUUCAGUAAACAAAACUGGCGAUGUGGGAUGAACCAAAAGUCCAGUUACUGCACCAAACUAUGCACUAACCCAAAUCCCACAAAGGGUGUUGGUUGCUUAAGACAAUAGGUUGGUGGUCAUGGUAGCUAAAAUAUACUAAGGAGUGUGUAACAACUCACCUUUUGAAUCCACUAGCCCUGAAAAUGGAUGGUUUUGAAGUGUGCGACCUUUACUCAGUCAUCGAAGAAAUUGCUAGGCUUCAAUGAGUAGGAGGACAUGGGGGUCAUUAAGAAACCUUGGGCGUGAGCUUAGGUGGACUGACCCCUGGUGCAGAUCUUGGUGGUAGUAGAAAAUAUUCAAAUGAGAACUUUGAAUACUGAAGUGGGGAAAGUUUCCAUGUGAAUAGCACUUGGACAUGGAUUUGUCAAUCCUAAGAUAUGGAGAAACCAUUAAUCAAGGUUGCACUCUGCAUGAACAUUAAAAGGGAAUCGGUUUAAUAUUCUAGAACUAGGACAUGGCAGUGGAUGACAACAUUAGGAAAUAUGGAUACACUGUUGGGGGGCCUAGGAAGAGUUAUAUUUUCUGUUAACAACUUUCCCACCCUGAAAUCAGCUCAACCGAAGAUAGGGUUCAACAACUGGAAGAGCACCGCGCGUCUUGCAGUGUCUAGUGCGCCCUCAUUGGCCCUUGAAAAUAUGGAGGACUGAGUACAUUCCAUGCACGUUCAUACCCAUAAUCGCAUCAUAUCUCCAAGGUGAACAACCUCUGGUCAAUAAAAAAAUGUAGGUAAGGGAAGUAGGAAAAACGAAUCCGUAACUUCGAAAAAAAGAUUGGCUCUCAGGGUUGGGCCUAAGGGUCUGCAUCCUCAACCAGUGGGUUUUCGUUAUAUUUCCUAAUAUUCUAUCAUGGAGAGGGAGGGCGGUCUCGUGUCGAUUGGGCUACGGACGUAUAAUGUCCCCUCAUGAGGGAUUUUCCCUAGGAUGCUAACAAACAACUCAUAAUUGGUAAGGACAAGGGGAAUUUAACUAUUUAACUAAAAAAAAGCAUUGUGAUGGUCCCUAUGGAUGAUGAUUCAAUAUGAUUUAUGCCCAUUGCACUGAAUGUCAAAGCGAAUAAAUUCGACCAAGCGUUGGUAAACGAAGAGAGUAACUAUGACUCUUUGAAGGUAUCCAAAUUCCUUGUCAUCUAAUUAGUGACACGCAUGAAUCGAUUAAUGAUAUUCCUAUUGUCCCUAUAUACUAUCUAGCGAAACCACAACCAAGGAAAUAGGAUUGGAACAAUCAGUGGGGAAAGAAGACCUUGUUGAGCUUAACUCUAGUUUGACUUUGUGAAAUGACUUGAGAGGUGUAGAAUAAGUAGGAAUCGUUUUUGGCGCAAGUGAAAUACCACUACUUUGAACAUUAUUUUACUUUUUCCAUGGGGCAGAGAUGGGGCAUCACCCUUGUUUUUGUUCUUAAGACAUGUUUCAGCAGGUUAAUCUGGGUGGAAGACAUUUUUAGGUGGGAAGUUUGGUUGGGGAGGCACAUCUGUUAAAAGAUAACACAUGUGUCCUAAUAUGAGCUCAAUGAGAACAGAAAUAUCGUGUGGAACAAAAGGGUAAAAUCUCAUUUGAUUUUUAUUUUCAUUAUGAACAAAAAUCAUGAAAGCAUGGCGUAUUGAUCCUUUAGACUUUCGAAAUUUGAAUCUAGAGGUGUCAAAAAAGUUACCACGAGGAUAAAUGGCUUGUGGCAGCCAAUCGUUCAUAGUGACAUUGCUUUUUAUCCUUCGAUGUUGGUUCUUCCUAUCAUUGUGAAGAAAAAUUCACCAAGUGUUGAAUUGUUCGCCCACCAAUAGGGAAUGUGAGUUGGGUUUAGACCGUCAUGAGAUAGGUUAGUUUUACCCUAAUGAUGAACUGUACCACAAUAGUAAUUCAACUUUGUACAAGAGGAACUGUUGAUUCACACAAUUGGUCAUCACGCUUGGUUGAAAAUCCAGUGGCAUGAAGCUAUCGUGUGUCGGAUUAUGACUGAAUGCCUUAAGUCAGAUUCCAUGCUAGAAGCAGCGCUUGUCAUUCCUCGAUCGUAUCUUGACCCACAGUAUGGGUGUCACUUUAGCACCCCUAGGGGCCCAUAUCACUUGUGAACCUCGGUCGGGAAGCAUCUCGGUCAGAGUAACUUUGAAGUUCAAUUUCAAAUGGUCGUUGAGAAAAAU
rnacentral:rRNA from 1 species